AAAGGGAGACCUAAUUCAGGUAGGAGACGAAAAAAAAGUAGUCGCUACCAAGAAUCAAUCCCGAAAGGUCGGAGCGAGGCGAAAUUGGCUUUCAAACUAGGUUCUGGGUUCACACAAGACCUGAAUCAGGAACAAGGGCUAUUAGCUCAGGUGGUUAGAGCGCACCCCUGAUAAGGGUGAGGUCCCUGGUUCGAGUCCAGGAUGGCCCACCUGCACAGGUGGCAAAAACAGAGAAGCGAGGAAUCAGCACCUUAUCUUACUUAUAUAGUAAGAGAGAAUGCUGGCUCUGAGUAAAGAGUCCAGAGGAACCUUGAAAACUGCAUAGAGCUAGGUGAAAAAGCCAAAAAAGAAGACCGCAAG
rnacentral:tRNA from 1 species